rnacentral:rRNA from 1 species
UACGGAGGGUGCGAGCGUUGUCCGGAAUCACUGGGCGUAAAGGGCGCGUAGGCGGCCUGAUAAGUAGGGGGUGAAAAUCCUGCGGCUUAACCGCAGGGCUGCCUUCUAAACUGUCAGGCUCGAGCACAGUAGAGGCAGGUGGAAUUCCCGGUGUAGCGGUGGAAUGCGUAGAGAUCGGGAAGAACAUCAGUGGCGAAGGCGGCCUGCUGGGCUGUUGCUGACGCUGAGGCGCGACAGCGUGGGGAGCAAACAGG